rnacentral:lncRNA from 1 species
CCGAUGAGAAAUUAAUAAUAAUAAUAAUACUAUUAUAUAUAGAUGUGAGAUCGAUACAUCAAUACCAUUUCUUACUAUUUUAUUCUUAUUUUAUGCUACAACCACCUCACCGUCGUCUCACUCUCACCUCCGGCAUGAAUCCCGAUGUUCUACAUACCAGCAGAUGACAGUCAGACUCAUUUUUAAUUUAGUUAUGCGAUUAUAUAUGUUGGAUAUCGCGUACAGAAUUGUUUUGAUGUCUGUCCCUCUCUUAAAUCUCAAUUCAAUUCGGUCUGUGUAUGGAAUGGACGGACGGACCUCGUGGACAAAAAGGUGUGACAUGUUUUCCCGGCGGGUUUUGUGCAAUCACUGUAUAUAUACAGUAAUAUUCAGUAACAUGGAUGAACAUCUAUCGAAGACGAUAAACAAACAAAGAAAUUAAAUCGAUUAUAUGUCAAUUCAAGGCCGGAUAGAUCGAGAUAAGGAAGCAUGCAUAGCAGAUUAUCAGAGAAAGAAGAUCUAAGUUACACCGGAGAAGGAGAAAGGUGAAAGAUAACGAAAAUAAAUAAAUGUGUUGCCUGGAUUUCCCAUGUACGCCAAACUUAUAACUACAGGUCCAACAACCAGUAGCAGUACUGGAAUGAACUAGUCGCCGACCGGAGGUUCCGAGAAGCAGAGGACCAGUUUCUUAUUCCUCUUCUUCUUGGCCAUCGAUCUUCCGGUGCUGGAAUUGGAGGAGGAGGAGGGAACCGUCCGUGUAAAAAUGUGGUGGAAAAGAGCGAGCGAUUUGGAGUUGGAUUAAAUAACAAUAUAUAUAAUGGAAUGACG